GCGCGAGUAGUAUAACGGUUAGUAUCCAUGCUUCCCAUUUGGAAGCAGCAUGGGGCCCGGGUUCGACUCCCGGCUCGCGCA